UACGGGGGGAGCAAGCGUUGUUCGGAUUUACUGGGCGUAAAGGGCGCGUAGGCGGCCACCGCAAGUCGACUGUGAAAUCUCCGGGCUUAACCCGGAAAGGUCAGCCGAUACUGCGGGGCUAGAGUGCAGAAGGGGCAACUGGAAUUCUCGGUGUAGCGGUGAAAUGCGUAGAUAUCGAGAGGAACACCUGCGGCGAAGGCGGGUUGCUGGGCUGACACUGACGCUGAGGCGCGAAAGCUAGGGGAGUGAACGGG
rnacentral:rRNA from 1 species